UACGUAGGGGCCUAGCGUUGUCCGGAUUUAUUGGGCGUAAAGAGCUCGUAGGUGGUUCGGUAAGUCGGAUGUGAAAUCUCCAGGCUCAACCUGGAGGGGUCAUUCGAUACUGCCGUGACUAGAGGUCGGUAGGGGAGUGUGGAAUUCCUGGUGGAGCGGUGAAAUGCGCAGAUAUCAGGAGGAACACCCGUAGCGAAGGCGGCACUCUGGGCCGAUACUGACGCUGAGACGCGAAAGCGUGGGAGGCAAACAGG
rnacentral:rRNA from 1 species